rnacentral:tRNA from 1 species
GGGGUUGUGGCUCAGGGGUAGAGCGCUUGCCUAGCACAUGCGAGAACCUGGGUUCCAUCCUCAGCACCACA